GACGAACGCUGGCGGCGUGCUUAACACAUGCAAGUCGAACGGUAAGGCCCUUCGGGGUACACGAGUGGCGAACGGGUGAGUAACACGUGGGUGAUCUGCCCUGCACUUCGGGAUAAGCCUGGGAAACUGGGUCUAAUACCGGAUAGGACUCCUGGCUUCAUGGUUGGGGGUGGAAAGCUUUUGCGGUGUGGGAUGGGCCCGCGGCCUAUCAGCUUGUUGGUGGGGUAAUGGCCUACCAAGGCGACGACGGGUAGCCGGCCUGAGAGGGUGACCGGUCACACUGGGACUGAGAGACGGCCCAGACUCCUACGGGAGGCAGCAGUGGGAAUAUUGCACAAUGGGCGCAAGCCUGAUGCAGCGACGCCGCGUGAGGGAUGACGGCCUUCGGGUUGUAAACCUCUUUCAGCUUUGACGAAGCGCAAGUGACGGUAGUAGCAGAAGAAGGACCGGCCAACUACGUGCCAGCCGCCGCGGUAA
rnacentral:rRNA from 1 species